rnacentral:rRNA from 1 species
AUGGCCAAGAACCAUCUCCUCCUCAUCCUCCUUGUGGCUGCCUCUGUUGUGGCCUCUCCAGCCACCGUCACCUCGAGCAGCUCCCCCUCUUCAACAGCAUAUGAGCUGCUAGAGAAGUACGGCUUCCCGCGAGGAAUCCUCCCGGAGGGUGUUCAAGACUAUUUCCUCCACCCAGACGGAUCCUUUGAGGUCUCCCUCCACGGCGGUUGUGAGAUCAAUGUCGGGGGAUUCACUCUCCGGUACGAAGGAAAUGUGCAUGGCAACAUCCAGUCUAUGUUGAUUAACGCGUUGACCGGGGUGAGCGUCAAGGUUGCAUUCCAAUGGAUUAGCAUCAAUGCAGUUGAACGGCAUGGUGAUCAGCUCGUCUUCAAUGCAGCCGUUAUAUCAAAAUCGUUUCAUGUUAACAACUUCUCCGUGAGCCCGCGCUGCAGCCGAAUCCCUGGAAUUGCAAAGUAG